rnacentral:rRNA from 1 species
UACGUAGGUGGCAAGCGUUGUCCGGAUUUACUGGGCGUAAAGGGCGCGUAGGCGGCUUGUCAAGUCACUUGUGAAAUCUCUGGGCUUAACCCAGAACGGCCAAGUGAAACUGACAUGCUAGAGUGCAGAAGGGGCAAUCGGAAUUCUUGGUGUAGCGGUGAAAUGCGUAGAUAUCAAGAGGAACACCUGAGGUGAAGACGGGUUGCUGGGCUGACACUGACGCUGAGGCGCGAAAGCCAGGGGAGCAAACGGG